GGUAGAUAUUUCUUUCAGGAUAACCUUACGUUUAAUGAGAAAGUAAGAAUU
rnacentral:sRNA from 1 species